GACGAACGCUGGCGGCGUGCUUAACACAUGCAAGUCGAACGGUAAGGCCCUUCGGGGUACACGAGUGGCGAACGGGUGAGUAACACGUGGGUGAUCUGCCCUGCACUUCGGGAUAAGCCUGGGGAACUGGGUCUAAUACCGGAUAGGACCACUGCCUGCAUGGGUGGUGGUGGAAAGCUUUUGCGGUGUGGGAUGGGCCCGCGGCCUAUCAGCUUGUUGGUGGGGUGAUGGCCUACCAAGGCGACGACGGGUAGCCGGCCUGGGAGGGUGACCGGCCACACUGGGACUGAGAUACGGGCCGGACUCCUACGGGAGGCAGCGGGGGGGAAUAUUGCACAAUGGGCGCAAGCCUGAUGCAGCGACGCCGCGUGAGGGAUGACGGCCUUCGGGUUGUAAACCUCUUUCAGCACCGACGAAGCGCAAGUGACGGUAGGUGCAGAAGAAGGACCGGCCAACUACGUGCCAGCAGCCGCCGCGG
rnacentral:rRNA from 1 species